AUUGAACGCUGGCGGCAGGCCUAACACAUGCAAGUCGAGCGAGAGGCGGACGGGUGAGUAAUGUAUGGGGACUGCCCGAUAGCGGGGGAUAACUACUGGCAACGGUGGCUAAUACCGCAUACUAUCGGAUAACCCAUAUGGGAUUAGCUAGGAGGUGGGGUAAAGGCUCACUUAGGCGCCGAUCUCUAGCUGGUCUGAGAGGAUGAUCAGCAACACUGGGACUGAGACACGGCCCAGACUCCGACGGAGGAAGCAGUGGGGAAUAGUGCACAAGGGGCGAAAGCCUGAUGCAGCCAUGCCGCGUGUAUGAAGAAGGCCUUAGGGUUGUAAAGUACUUUCAGCGGGGAGGCGUUACCCGCAGAAGAAGCACCGGCUAACUCCGUGCCAGCCGCCGCGGUAAUUC
rnacentral:rRNA from 1 species